GCAAUAACUCUACGAUGGCGUGCACCGCAAAAAAUACGAACCCAAUACAUGCCUGAUAAAAUAUGGACCAAUUAUGAUUUAAAACAUUAUGACGAUCAAUGGUAUAGGCUUUGAAUGCAAGAAGAGCAGAUUGAUCCACUGUGAUGUUUGUUACACCCGCAGCGAAGCUCGCUGUGAACCAUUGUAACAACAACAUAGGAACAAGGUA
rnacentral:lncRNA from 1 species